UUGGUAUAUGGAGUUCGCCUUUCGGGCUGCAAUGACGACAGAAGGAUGCUUCACUCGGGGAGGCUCCUCUCCUCAAAAGGCUUCUAUGAACACAUGCUUAACACCCGGAAGAACCUGCGCAGGAAGAAUAUCCUGCCUGAUGGGAAGUGUUCACGCUGUGGCGGUAAUGUGGAAGACAGGUUGCACGUCUUCGUUUCUUGUUCCAGGGCCAGCAUCUCCUGGAGAUUGGCGGGCUUUAGGAUUAAUGGCGUUGAAGGAUUCCCCCUCUUUCCUCCUAUCAUCCCUCAUGACGCCAUCUUUAGAAUAUCCUUGGCACUAUUCUCUAGAGGCUGUGGGAGAAUAGGAACAAUCUCAUCUUCGAAAAUGAGGAACCCCGUGUACGUGUGA
rnacentral:misc_RNA from 1 species